rnacentral:lncRNA from 7 species
CUUCCAGAGUCAGCUUUUGAGCAUUCCUUUAUGGAGCUGCAAGAACAUAAAGUCAUCACAGAGAGCCUCGUUAAAAGUGUUUAAUGAGAGCAGUGUGAUCCCACAGCCCAAGGGUCAGCAUGAGAGCAAGGACAGCCCAGAAGCCUCGUCCCACCAGAGACCCCAUUCAUCAAGGGACACACUGACUGCUGUCACCAACACCCAGACAGGCACAGGAGACAAAGCAACCCAAGAGAACUGCAGCUGGGUAUCAACGCCAGUGCGAAUUUCUCAGCCCAGAACAAGCCAAGACUCACUUCUGGCCAAAAUUCCUGCACUAAUGCUAACCACCAUCUGAUUACAUGAUUUUCCUGAGAUCCUGCUGCAAGUCGUUGUCACAGAAAGGGCUCAUGUGGGCACACUGCAGCCCUGGUUCCCUGCUGCCUACCUCUGCCUCUGGUUGGUCCGGUGCCCUGAGCAGCCCCAUCACCUGUGCUCUGCUCCCUGCUGGAAAAACAUGCUCGUUUUCAAAGGUGUGUGGCUGGAGCUGUGCUUGAGACAAGUCCGAAUGCUCUCUGCCUGGGGAGCAGGAUGGGGCUGAGGGGAAGAAAAGCAGCAGUUAAUGCAAAGAGAGAAGGAGAUUUUUCCGUGCAGUCAACAUGUUGCAUGUGCAUGUCCAGAGUUCUCGUGAACCAAAAACCAAUUCACUGACUGAGCUGAGGAAACUCCUCCCCGUGUUGGUUCAUUCCCUGUGCUGCACAUCUGCUCCUGGAAGGUGGAAGAUGGCACAAGAACAGUUUUGCAAAGCUGACCUCAAUGAGAGAGUAAAGGAGUCAAGCAUGAGAGUGAAAGGGAAACAAACAAAUCAGAUUUGAAUAUGCUAAGCUAAAUAAAUAACCACAAGCCUGAGAUCAACAGGAAUAUUAUAAGCUGCAGAUUUGGAGCUGUGUUAAACAGGAACAAUCGUUUCCUUUUUGCCACUUACUGAAGGAAGAAGGCCAUUCCUUUCUGCAGAGUUGAUCUGCUACGUUCUCAUGCUCUCUAGGAAAUAUCCUUCCAAGUCAGAUGACUUCUUAGCAAGUGAGGAGAGGAAUAUGGUUUUUUGUUGCAAAAUUUAGAACUCAUUCCAUUGCUGCGUCACCAGCUCAGAUCUUUGUCUCAGCCAUUCCUUUGUCUCUUGCUCAGCCAUGACCCACUGCUCAUCCGCCGGGCUGACAGCACACCAAGUCCUGCCUAAAUGCAAGAACCUCAGAGCAUCAGUAGGACAUCCCACCCAGCCAAAGAACCCGGAGGAAACUUCUAAGCUUGUAUGAGUCACUCAUCAUCUCAAGCAGCAUUAGAAGGAAAUUGCCUUAGGGCACUGUCAUCACCAUUUGUGAGUAUUUGUUGACAGCAAAUGUCUGUGCUACUGUUACGAACCUCAGGCUGGGCUAGGUUUGAACCUAAGAUCACCACUUUUAGCACAUAUACAUUGGCCAGCUGGGCUGAAAAAUGGAGAAUUCAGCAUCACCAGAAGCUGGCAGUUGCCUUAAAGUUAAUGUGCAUCUGCGCAUAGCCUUCGCCAGCAACAAAUGCAGAGUGAUGGGCUUAGCUUAGUUGAGAACAAAGUAUUCUUACAUCCCAAUGAACCUGAAAAGACGGAGGUGAAAAAAAAUACCAUUACUGAUCUGGAACUAGAUGUUAGCAGGGGACAAAACUGCAAAUAGAUAUGCACACACACACUUCUGCCAUUGUUACACAAUCUUUCACAGCUACCAACAAUCUGCACAUAAUCCCUGAGUCUAGUUCACGUUCCCAUGAUCUGAUGGCAUCACCAGGAGAGUGCUUAUGUAUUCCAGCCAGGGCAAGCAGCACAGACUGGAGGCUUCCCAGGCAAGAAUAAGGUUGAUGCGUGUGUCACCUAAAAGCCCCCCUUCCACAUAUCUCACUCUAAGACAUCUCCCUGAAUUUACUGCCUACAAACCAACUGGCAAGCAGACAUUACAGCUUUUCCUAAAAUUUAGGUGAGCAGCAGCAAGGAGGUGGCUGGGCCAUUGCCUCCCAGCUCUUCCUCCAGGCUGCUCAGCUCAGUCUGUGUAACCUCAUCAGCAUCCUAGCAAAAAGCUAUUUUUGCCUCCUAAACAAGCACAAGAAAAACCUUGGUUGAAGCAGAAUGGAAAAGAGCUUCACGGCUUCCCUGGAGAAGGGGAAUGCAAGAUGGUGGUUGGUAGCCAUCUAUCCCAUCUGUUGGAGCCUAGACCCAGUUUUGUCUAAAGAUCCUUGGACAAAUUUGAUGUGCUCACAAAGGGUGGCUGAGAUCCUAGCAGAGCUGAAGUUGACUUCAGACCUGGCCAGCCCAAGCAGAGGACAUUGCUGUUGUUUAAAAAUGAUACUCAUUAAGAGCAGAAGUCAGGCAAUGAUCACCUUCUGUAGUUGAUAAUACUCAAGGAGGGAGAUGGUGGAAAAAUGAAACCUUGGAAAAUAAAACUUAUUUGGCACCGCUG